UGGGGAAUUUUGGACAAUGGGGGCAACCCUGAUCCAGCCAUGCCGCGUGAGUGAAGAAGGCCUUCGGGUUGUAAAGCUCUUUCAGACGGAAAGAAAUCGGGUGGGUCAAUACCCUGCCUGGAUGACGGUACUGUCAGAAGAAGCACCGGCUAACUACGUGCCAGCAGCCGCGGUAAUACGUAGGGUGCGAGCGUUAAUCGGAAUUACUGGGCGUAAAGCGUGCGCAGGCGGUUGUGUAAGACAGGUGUGAAAUCCCCGGGCUUAACCUGGGAACUGCGCUUGUGACUGCACGGCUAGAGUACGGCAGAGGGGGGUGGAAUUCCACGUGUAGCAGUGAAAUGCGUAGAUAUGUGGAGGAACACCGAUGGCGAAGGCAGCCCCCUGGGCCGAUACUGACGCUCAUGCACGAAAGCGUGGGGAGCAAACAGG
rnacentral:rRNA from 1 species